UACGUAGGGUGCGAGCGUUGUCCGGAAUUAUUGGGCGUAAAGAGCUCGUAGGCGGUUUGUUGCGUCUAUCGUGAAAACCUGCAGCUUAACUGUGGGCUUGCGGUGGAUACGGGCAGACUUGAGUUCGGUAGGGGAGACUGGAAUUCCUGGUGUAGCGGUGAAAUGCGCAGAUAUCAGGAGGAACACCGGUGGCGAAGGCGGGUCUCUGGGCCGAAAUUGACGCUGAGGAGCGAAAGCGUGGGGAGCAAACAGG
rnacentral:rRNA from 1 species